rnacentral:rRNA from 1 species
GGCAUGUCCGUGAAUGUAAAGUCCACUGGAAUGUGGCAGCGCUCCCGUGCGCUCUUUGGGUCAGAGAGGGUGAAAACCCCGCUUACACUUAUUGUAGGGCGUGUCUGUUGUGUGGGCGUGUUGAAGAGUCGGAUUGUUUGGGAAUGCAAUCCAAAAC